UGGGGAAUUUUGGACAAUGGGGGCAACCCUGAUCCAGCAAUGCCGCGUGAGUGAAGAAGGCCUUCGGGUUGUAAAGCUCUUUUGUCAGGGAAGAAACGGUAGUAGCGAAUAACUAUUACUAAUGACGGUACCUGAAGAAUAAGCACCGGCUAACUACGUGCCAGCAGCCGCGGUAAUACGUAGGGUGCAAGCGUUAAUCGGAAUUACUGGGCGUAAAGCGUGCGCAGGCGGUUGUGUAAGUCAGAUGUGAAAUCCCCGGGCUCAACCUGGGAAUUGCAUUUGAGACUGCACGGCUAGAGUGUGUCAGAGGGGGGUAGAAUUCCACGUGUAGCAGUGAAAUGCGUAGAUAUGUGGAGGAAUACCGAUGGCGAAGGCAGCCCCCUGGGAUAACACUGACGCUGAGGCGCGAAAGCGUGGGGAGCAAACAGGAUUAGAUACCCUCGUAGUCCCUGAGCGGGCUGGCAAGGCGCAU
rnacentral:rRNA from 1 species